AUUAGAGGAAGUAAAAGUCGUAACAAGGUCUCCGUAGGUGAACCUGCGGAGGGAUCAUUACACAAAUAUGAAGGCGGGCUGGAACCUCUCGGGGUUACAGCCUUGCUGAAUUAUUCACCCUUGUCUUUUGCGUACUUCUUGUUUCCUUGGUGGGUUCGCCCACCACUAGGACAAACAUAAACCUUUUGUAAUUGCAAUCAGCGUCAGUAACAAAUUAAUAAUUACAACUUUCAACAACGGAUCUCUUGGUUCUGGCAUCGAUGAAGAACGCAGCGAAAUGCGAUAAGUAGUGUGAAUUGCAGAAUUCAGUGAAUCAUCGAAUCUUUGAACGCACAUUGCGCCCUUUGGUAUUCCAAAGGGCAUGCCUGUUCGAGCGUCAUUUGUACCCUCAAGCUUUGCUUGGUGUUGGGCGUCUUGUCUCUAGCUUUGCUGGAGACUCGCCUUAAAGUAAUUGGCAGCCGGCCUACUGGUUUCGGAGCGCAGCACAAGUCGCACUCUCUAUCAGCAAAGGUCUAGCAUCCAUUAAGCCUUUUUUUCAACUUUUGACCUCGGAUCAGGUAGGGAUACCCGCUGAACUUAAGCAUAUCAAUAAGGCCGGAGGAAA
rnacentral:rRNA from 1 species